UUUUCGCCAAUAUCUCGUUAGGGGAGAAUUUUAACCUUAUGUCAUGGGGGUAAUAGGUAAGUACUUAGUAACCUCUUUGCUUUUAUUCGAGCCUUUUAUUAAAUCGAAGUUACAGUUCACGAGGUUGAUCCUUUGGGAGAUAUUAAAUCCUGUUUUACUAUUAUUUAUAAAUUCUAACGUUUAACUUUAAUAAUAAUAAGUAAGUUUGGACGCAGACUAGAAACGAGUUUAAUCGACUAAGUUUUUGAUUUUGUGUACCUUUUUAUCAUACAACUUUUUAAUUUCAGCAAAUUUUAGUUAAAGAGUAAAUCAAAGUUAGCAAUCAUUGAACUCAAUAGUUAAAAAGGUGACUGUAAAAAUAGAACUAAGAUUUCGAUACUUUUAAAUGAACUUCUAGUUCUAAUGAUAUAAUUUUAAAUUAUUAGAUGUUUAAAUUUUCCUGAUAGCUGGAUCAUAGUCAUGUAGAAAUUAGGUUAAACAUUGUCAUGCAGAAAUUAGGUUGAAAUAAUUUUGUCCAUAGAAAACACAGUCACGCCUUACAUUAUUACAAGCUUUAAAGGGCUCGUGAGUCGUGUUAGUGUUACUAUUACUUUUGAGCUUGAAAGCAGACAAAACUUUGCUUAUUUGUUUGUUUAUUAUUUUGUUUGUUAUUAGAGAAAGAAGACAAUAUUACCUCUCGAUUAUUUCAGGAGAAGCUAAAAGCGCUGAAAGACAAAGAAGCAUCUCCCGCAGGAGCUGUUGAAUCAGCACGCUGAAGAAGUACAGAGACUGGUGAACAAGCUGAUAAACUCAGACAGCAGCAAAAACUUCAAGAUCUAAAAUAGGCCCGGGCUUUUUUUUAAGUUACUGACAUGACGCUGGUCCUCACUUUUUGGAGUCUACUCCCUCAUUUCCAGGCUGAACAGGAAGCUGUACAACAACCGGUCUGACAAGUUACAAGUGGUGGACCUACAUCAUCUAGAUGUACAGGUACAAAUUCUACUAGUACGAUUCGAUGCAGUGGAAGAGGUUGAAGUUGACGUUUAAGCAGUCACCCUGCCGAACAAGAAAUCAGUCAGGCAAAGAGGCUAGGUUGACUAGAAACUCAAUCACUAUAUCCGUGAAACUUGCUGGAAGCUAUGUGUGGAGGUCGGACCGAAACUGUAAUCAGACACUAAACAUUAACGAGGACCAAUUAUUUUACUCCCUUAAUGAUGAAUAAAGAUCGCUGAUUGCUUUUACUAAUAUAUAGUGUUAAAAUGAAAGAGAAACUGUUGAGACGAAAGAGAAAAACGCACUCAUUUAUUUAUAGUUUUAUGUCUUAACAAUGUUAUUCGAAAGCUAAUUUUAAAAGCUGGCUCUGAAUCCUUGCUAAAUGAUUUGGGAAGGUGUAAGGGCUAAAUAUGCCUGUAGACAUCAUUUUCAGUGGGUUUUAUGAAGUUUAUGAUUAGGGUAUAUUUUGGGACUGAAAUAAGCGCAAGACCUUCGACGUUUCUAUUCCUACUGUUUUUUUAAUUUAGCAAAUAUACAAAAAAAAAUUAUACUGUCGUAAAGAUAAAAUGUUUAGUCAUCGGAUAGAUACUUCAAAAUUAAGUAUUAAAAUAACCGAGCUAAGAUAUUCAAUGUUAAACUCAAAAAUGUUCACGCGUUUAUGAAGAAAUAUCUAAUUCUGCGCGUAGUUUUUUGGUCACAACUAUGGCAAAUUUUUACCAAUUUUGUUCAUAAUUUCAAAAUGUUAUUUAGUAGACAAAUUAC